GACGAACGCUGGCGGCGUGCUUAACACAUGCAAGUCGAACGGAAAGGCCCUGCUUUUGUGGGGUGCUCGAGUGGCGAACGGGUGAGUAACACGUGAGUAACCUGCCCUUGACUUUGGGAUAACUUCAGGAAACUGGGGCUAAUACCGGAUAGGAGCUCCUGCUGCAUGGUGGGGGUUGGAAAGUUUCGGCGGUUGGGGAUGGACUCGCGGCUUAUCAGCUUGUUGGUGGGGUAGUGGCUUACCAAGGCUUUGACGGGUAGCCGGCCUGAGAGGGUGACCGGCCAGAUGGGGACUGAGAUACGGCCCAGACUCCUACGGGAGGCAACAGUGGGGAAUAUUGCACAAUGGGCGGAAGCCUGAUGCAGCAACGCCGCGUGCGGGAUGACGGCCUUCGGGUUGUAAACCGCUUUCGCCUGUGACGAAGCGUGAGUGACGGUAAUGGGUAAAGAAGCACCGGCUAACUACGU
rnacentral:rRNA from 1 species